AUAGAUUAGGAGCAGUGACAGAUGUAUAAACAAAUUGUUAGCUAUUAAUAGCAAAUGAAAAUACAUUCAGGACAGCAGAAUUACUGACUACAGAAUUCCAAUGGCUGGUAAAAGUUUGACUACACCUAGACAUUAUUUUGCUUUCUUAAAUUAAUUUGAUUGACGUUUUUUGAAAUCAGACGUGAUCAAAGCAAAUAAAUAGC
rnacentral:lncRNA from 1 species